GUAACACAAUAAAAGUUACAAAUAUUUAUAUUAAACAUGAUUUGAUAAAUUGGAAAAAUGUGUAAGUAAUCCGUCAAGCGGCCAAAUUAUAUUGACCAUAUACUGGACAAAAGUUAAAUUCUAUUAAGAAUCCUAUGAAAAAAAAAACAUGAAUAUUGAGAUUAGAGUUGCAGUUUAGUGAUCGCAGCUUCACCCUGCAUUACUUACUACUUAGGUAUAGUGUUCUAAUCCCACCAAAUGCUUUGUUUUCUUCUAUCUAGAAAAAAUUGAAAAAUAAGGGGAAAAGAAAAAAAAAUUAGAACAAGAAGAAGAUUAUAAGAAUGAAACAAAUCUACCCCAGAUAAGCUCUGCCCCCAAUUAAUUCAUCCAUUAAGAUUUAAGACAAUUACAAUCCCAACCGGUGUAUACUGUAUACUAAAAAAAAAAAACUCAACUAGGAAACGCAACCUUCUUCCUUCCUUCUUAUGUCAUAAUCUUCUGAUUUUAGCUAACAACUUUGAUGAAGAGGCACGUUUCAUGAAGCUCUUAAUCAGACUUUAUUUUCAACCCGUAGCCAUCAACACGGCCAAAAAAAUACAAACCAUUUGUAUAUUCAAAUUCAAUCCUCACCUAUUAAUUUCUUUACUUUAUUUUCUUUCCUCUGCGUAGGCGGAUUCAGAAUUUAAAUUUAAUGAGUUUAGCCUUCAAAGUUCUUCUUAUUAAACACAUAUUUAAAACUUUAAAUGGAUUCAUACCUAUUGUUUAUUGCAGUCGUAGUUAUUCAUAUAUACUGAUACUCUGCAUCGGAAGUAUUGGAUUCAGAUAAAUCCCGUGCUGUCAGGCUACAACCGCGCGCCCUGGUUCUUCUAAACCUUGAUCUUUACUUGAACACUCUCACUACUCUUUAAUUAGCAGGCACCUAAGUAUACCUACCCCAGAAAUUAAUUCUCUAGUACAUCCCCUAGCUAGUUCUUUUUUCUUCAAUACCACCUUUGACAACGGUUUGCUUAUAUACAUCUUGAUUUCUCUUUGUUUAUCUACAUCUUGAUUUCUCUUUCUUACUAAAUUCCCUCUUGUACCCUUUUGUUAUUGGCUAGUAUAAAGCAUUUAUUCAUUGAAAUCUUGAGAAGAACAAAAGGUAAGAGAGAUUUUCGAGACCACAAACAGGAAGAAGGAAGAAGCUAAUCAAUCAAUUGAGAUAGGUAAAAGAGAUUUUCGAGACUGCAAGCAACAAGGAACACGGCGGCUUUGUAUUUUGGAGAUCGAGUUAGGAUGGAGUACACUUGUACAGAAGAGAAAUCUGAGGUAAGGGAUACAAGUGACAAUUAUUAUCUUGGGAAGUUAAAGAAGACAUGGAUUAUUUGCUUGGGAUUAUUUUGCAUAAGUAUUGGAGGUGGAGUGAUAUUAGGAUGGUGGAGUUUAAAAUUUCAUCCUUCAAACAGACAACUAUGGAUGGUUCCUUUAGGUCUCGUUUUGCUGGUUACACCAAUUUUAAUUUUUCUUGCCAUCCUCUUGGAAUCUUGUAACUACAGGGAAACUGGUGAUCACCACCAUCUUGAAUCUGUUUCCCAAGAUUUUCCUCAGGAUUUGGAGAGAUCAUUCUAAGUUUCUAACAAUACUUACUAUGUCAAGGUGUAUAAUCGUUGAAAUAUCAGAAAAGUUGGUUACUCUACAUUUCUUCACUG